GAAGUACACAUCCAUAGUGGCCCAGAUUGAACGAUUGGAUACCCACUCUCUGGCAAUUAAGAUGUUUACACAAAGACGGUUGAUUGAGAAAUGUACUACCAUGGUACAGCUAUGUAUUCACGGUUGAGGCUGAAAUGAGACUUUAAAGAACAACCCAGGCAUGGAAUUAAAGCUGUGUCUUUAAAGUGGCGUUACAACUGUGUUUGAGGUCAGUCAAUGUAACCGAUUGGUAUUUCCGCUGUAGACGGGCAACAUGGCAGACACUACUUGCUGGAAACUAUUCUGUGUCAUCAUGGGCCUUUUAGAUGCUGCUGUCUACUCUGUCACGUUAUCAGGUUGGCCAGCGUUCAUGUACAUAUUUAUAGAGGAACGGUUUUAUUAUUCCCGUUGCGACUUCGAUACUGUAGGCAAUUCUAGUGCUGAUUGUACUGGUCUUGGUAACUGCACGCAAGAAACAGACGGAGAGACUCUCGUUCAAAAGUGCACUGAGCAGGAAGAGAUUUUAAAUCUAGUUUUCACUGUCGCUUUCGUCGGUUUAGGUUCCCUUUUUAUACUUGGUUAUGUCUAUGAUCAUUGCGGUACAGUCUGUUUGAGGAUCAUAUCUAUAUGCCUUUGUGUCGGUGGGUGUUUCUUGAUGGCAUUGGUUGAGAG
rnacentral:lncRNA from 1 species